rnacentral:rRNA from 1 species
UAAGGAAUAUUGGACAAUGGUCGCAAGACUGAUCCAGCCAUGCCGCGUGAAGGAUGAAUGCACUAUGGGUUGUAAACUUCUUUUAAACGGGAAAAAACCCCUCUACGUGUAGAGGGCUGAUGGUACCGUAAGAAUAAGGAUCGGCUAACUUCGUGCCAGCAGCCGCGGUAAUACGAAGGAUUCGAGCGUUAUCCGGAUUUAUUGGGUUUAAAGGGUGCGUAGGUGGACUAAUAAGUCAGUGGUGAAAGCCCGCAGCUUAACUGCGGAACUGCCAUUGAUACUGCUAGUCUUGAGUACAGUUGAGGUGGGCGGAAUGUGUCAUGUAGCGGUGAAAUGCUUAGAUAUGACACAGAACACCGAUUGCGAAGGCAGCUCACUAAGCUGUAACUGACACUGAGGCACGAAAGCGUGGGGAGCAAA